rnacentral:rRNA from 1 species
AGAGUUUGAUCCUGGCUCAGGAUAAACGCUGGCGGCGUGCCUAACACAUGCAAGUCGAACGCCUUUCUUCUCGUAAGGGAAGGAGGGAGUGGCGGACGGGUGAGUAACGCGUGGGUACCUGCACUUUGGUGAGGAAUACAGGCGAGAAAUCGCCGACAAUACCGCAUGAGCUCUCGUGAGAGAGCAAAGCUUCGCAUCGGCGAGGCGCCAGAGAAUGGGCCUGCGUCCGAUUAGCUAGUUGGUGAGGUAAAGGCUUACCAAGGCGACGAUCGGUAGCUGGUCUGAGAGGACGAUCAGCCACACUGGGAUUGAGAACGGCCCAGACUCCUACGGGGGGCAGCAGUGAGGAAUUUUCGGCAAUGGGCGCAAGCCUGACCGAGCAACGCCGCGUGCAGGAGGAAGGUCUUCGGAUUGUAAACUGCUUUUCCCAGGGAAGAGUAAGGACGGUACCUGGGGAAUAAGUCCCGGCUAACUACGUGCCAGCAGCCGCGGUAAUACGUAGGGGGCGAGCGUUAUCCGGAGUUACUGGGCGUAAAGCGCACGUAGGCGGUCUGCUAAGUUCGGAGUGACAGUCACCAGCUUAACUGGUGAAGUACUUUGAAAACUGGCGGACUUGAGAGC